rnacentral:tRNA from 1 species
GUGCUCUUGACUGAUUGGCUUAGGUGCCGCGUUUCCACCGCGGAAAAGCGAGUUCGAUUCUCGCAGAGCACUC